UUUUUUUUUUUUUUUUUUUUUUUUUUUUUUUUUUUUUUUUAAUCAG
rnacentral:ribozyme from 1 species